rnacentral:rRNA from 1 species
AUUGAACGCUGGCGGCAGGCUUAACACAUGCAAGUCGAGCGAGAAAAGGGGAGCAAUCCCCUGAGUACAGCGGCGCACGGGUGAGUAACACGUGGGUAAUCUGCCCUGAAGUGGGGAAUAACACCGGGAAACCGGUGCUAAUACCGCAUAUGAUCACGGUGUCUGCGGACACAGGGAUGAAAGGAGCAAUUCGCUUCAGGAGGAGCCCGCGGCUGAUUAGCUAGUUGGUGAGGUAAUGGCUCACCAAGGCAACGAUCAGUAUCCGGUCUGAGAGGACGGUCGGACACACUGGAACUGAGACACGGUCCAGACUCCUACGGGAGGCAGCAGUGGGGAAUUUUUCGCAAUGGGGGGCAACCCUGACGAAGCAACGCCGCGUGGGUGAUGAAGUCUCUUGGGACGUAAAACCCUUUCGACAGGGAAGAAACCGCAAGGUUGACGGUACCUGUAGAAGAAGCCCCGGCUAACUCCGUGCCAGCCGCCGCCGUAA